UACGGGGGGUGCGAGCGUUGUCCGGAAUUACUGGGCGUAAAGGGCGCGUAGGCGGGAUGGCAAGUCGGUCGUGAAAUCCCUCGGCUCAACUGAGGAUCGUCGAUCGAUACUGCCGUUCUUGAGGAUUGCAGAGGAGACUGGAAUUCCUGGUGUAGCGGUGAAAUGCGCAGAUAUCAGGAGGAACACCGGUGGCGAAGGCGGGUCUCUGGGCCGAUACUGACGCUGAGGAGCGAAAGCGUGGGGAGCGAACAGG
rnacentral:rRNA from 1 species